GCUGGGGCGCGGAGAGGCGGCCUCGGCUGCUCUCGGGAAGGGCUGUCCGAUUCUCCACGCAUUCUUUCGGGCUUGGUCAGCCCCUCCCGGUGGCGGCAUAGUUUUCCCAGUGCGUGUCCAUCACUCAUUCACAAAGACUGACACACAGGACGUGAGGCAUGGGGACCGCGGGGCGUGCGUGCCGAGGCGCGGGGUCCGGCAGCCAGCGUCCCCAAAGGGCUCCGCGAAGUCUGGACUCCGGCGGAGUUCUGGACCAGUGUAGCACUCCCUCCAAGCUUGGACAUCCCUCCAGAAUGCAGCUAGUCUUUCAUUGCCACCUGGAACAGAUGAAGCAUUUACUUGCUGGUGUCAAAUACAUGUGUUGACCAGUUGCCCAGAAGCACCCUUGGGAAAGGGCAGCCUUGAAUAGCUCUGUCUAAAAUUAUAAGCAGGGGCAGCCCUAGGCUCCAAGAGAUCAGAGCCGUCAUGCUGGGCCGGAACAAAGACCCUGCUUUUUCCCAACAAUUAGCCCUGCAAAAAGGACAUCUAUCUCCCUCUAUUAAAACCACCACGUGCCUUCAAGUCAGCCCAUUGUAAAGCUAAUUAAAUAACACGCCUCUCUCCCCAUGCUGGUCUCCUGAUUAACUUUCCUCUGUCCAAAAACCUCUGCAAAGAGCCUAGAGAUAGACAGGCCAAUGUUCCAAGUCCCCUGCGUCCCCCAUCACCAAUUGCAAGCAGUUAGUUGAAAAGCCACCCUCAUCAAUAGUGUGGAGUUUGUUCAUGCAUCAUGCACUAGUCACCAGUAGCUCUGCCUCUUGUCACUUCUAGUUCACAUGGACAGAUAAAAUUUGUAUUAUUUUAAAAAUAAGUCAUUUGGAAAAGCAAAAGUUUCUGUCAAGACAGAAAAUCUUUGGUGGGAAUCCACCCACCUCACAGUGGGAAAGUGCUGCAGUUGAGAGCAUUUGUCAAGGACUUUCACAAAGGAUGCGGAGCCAGGGAAACAAGAUGGCCAGAGGCAGUUCUCCACUCUUUGUAGAUGCACUCAGACCCCUGUGAAAGAUGGAGUGCAACUUCUUAGAAGGGCGGUAUGUAGGAAAGCGGAGAUAAAAUAAAACAUUUCAAGCAAGUUUUUUAAAAUAUGUUGCAAAAAUAUCAUGCUACCCCUCAGGUUAAAUUCCUUCAAGAAGAUAAAAUCCAGUUUAUAGCAAAGACCUUUAAUGAUUAGCAUCAGUCCACCUUUAAGCCAGUGGUGCAAACAGUUAAGACACUUAGCUGCUAAUCAAAAGGUUGGAAGUUCAAGUCCACCCAGGGGUACCUUGGAAGAAAGGCCUGGUGACUUACUUCCAGAAGAUCACAGCCAUUGAAAACCUUAUGGAGCAGUUCUACUCUGACACACAUGAGGUUGCCACCAGUCGGAUCUGACUCCACAACAACUGGUUACCUUUCAGCUGCAUUUCACCUUCUUUCCUGCAGAGGCACCCUGCUCUCCAACAUCCUGGACUUGUUGGUAUUCGUUUAACAAACCCUAGUGGUUUUUUUUUUUUUUUUUUUUUAGUGGUUUACACUUUUGGGAACUUUUACGGGCUGAUCAACGUGUGCCACUCAUUCCUCAAAACUCAGCAGCAAGCAUCGCCUUCCCUGUGAAGGUUUCCCAGACCAACCCAGAUAAAAUCAGGCACUUCGUCCUCUGAGCCCUCACAACACAUUCCCUUCAAGUCAGUACAUACAGGCUUCUAGUCUAGCACUUAGUACAUUGCUGAAAUAAUUCAGGCUCCUCAAGGGCAGGAACGAUAUUCCAUUCAAAUUAGAACCUCAAGCUUAAAACACAAUGACUUAGACAUAGUAAAUGCUUAAUAAGUGUUAAAAGAAUAUGCUACUGAAUAAAUGAGCAAGUGAAUGAAAAGGGAUGUAUGAAUAAAUAAAUGAAUGAGUGAAAGGAACCACUCUUUCAUAUUAACUGUGAUCCGGGAUGGUACAUUCAGGUCUGCUUCCAGCUUCACUACAGAUGGCUUCAAAUGCUUAGAAAAGGCUAUCAUUUUAUAAUUUGGUUUUCUCCAUUUAAAAUUAUUUCAGAUUUCAUACACACGCACACACAUACACACACACACUUAUACAAUUUUUUUUAAAUAACAAAAAUGGAAGGUGACCAGAUCAGUCAUUUUCUAAAUACAUGCAAUAGUUCUAGAGCAUAACUUUUCCAACCAACACCAGUCUGAGGUUUCUAGUUCAUUUACUCUUUAGACCAUACAAACCUCUCCUACAAAGUGUUUUUGAAAAGAUCCACCAGUCUUCUUGGACAUCCAUACAGAUGAGUGGAUGACUAAAUCAUAAAGUAAUCCCAUAUACAAUUUAAGUUUCCAACGAAAUACUCUUGGGCUUCAAAAUUAGCAGGGAAAAAAAAAAAAUUAAGGCACUUGGCAAAAUAGAUUUUGAGCUCUGCCAAAUCCCCAAGCAGCCAAAGUCACUGAAUGAUUUCCAUCCCUAAAACAUAAAGCCUUGUAGCAAAAGUCACUGUCUGAUGAUUCUUGUGUAAUUUCAAUGCUGGGCUUGAUGACAUUUGGGGUCAGUUCUUCCUUGGUGUUUUUUACCAUCACAAUCUCAACUUAAAACAAUGUGUUUUCCUAGCUAGUUGAGGGUACCUUCCAUAUAGACAGAGAUGUCAAGGAAAAACGAGACAGAGAAAGAGUCCAUGAGCAUGCCACAGUAAGUAAUCCUGUCAGUAGAGACCAUGACCUCCAACAUGAUACUAAGAGAGAAAACACUGCCAUUCAUUUAGCAGUCACUUUGUUCUGGCAAGUCUCCGACAUGCUAAUGUGGAAUGCCCAUUUUUUAAUGAUCAUAAUGGAUUGGAAGCUGAUAAAAUUAGACUCUGGCUAGCAAUAAGCUCUUUAUUACUCUCCUUUACCACAGUUGGCCUCCAUUCUCAGAUCUUUAAGAAAGGCUAAUUCAAGACCUUUAAGAUAUGUGGACAAUAGGCCAAUAAAUGAAGACUAAUAGAGCUGCAUUUUUAUAUAGAUUUGAUACCCCCAGAUACAGCUUGGCAUAAAUAAAAGCAGCCAUCAUGUAAAAAAAAAUCACACCUGUUAAUUUAUCAAGGGCAGAUCAAAUAAACUGCAUGGCAGAAAUGAACCUUUACGGGAAAGUUAAACAGAACAUGGUAGAAAAAGAAUGGUUAGACAUGAGCUUUAAUCAAAGAGUAAGGAUAUAAGACAAGAAAUAUGUAUUGUAACUGUGAGCACUGUCGUGGCAAUAUUGGGCACAAUAAUUUAAAAAAACAAAGAACCAAACCCAUUGCCAUUGAGUUGAUUCUGACUCAUAGCAACCCUACAAGACAGAGUAGAAUUGCCCCAUAGGGUUUCCAAGGAGCGGCCAGUGGAUCUGAACUGCUGACUUUUUGGUUAGCAGCUGAGAUCUUAACCACUGCACCACCAGGGCUACACUGGUAAAUACAAUAAUUGUGAAUAAGGUCUUAUAGAAUAGCAUAUGUUAUGUGGGAUAGAAAUAGCUACUUUAAAUUCAGUUGAGGUUUUGAGCAAUAUUAAAAGGCAUAGUAUAGACAAAUCAAGACACACAAGAGACCUCUCAUUAGGAGGAAAAAAGCUCAGAACUGACUGUAGGGAGCAGCCCUGUUGAUAGUUCAUGUCAAUACAUUCCAGUCAGCAGCUUAUUUAAACAACAACUUCAGAGUAAGUUCACCAUCUAAUUCUGCAAAUGGAGUCUCUUAGAAUUACAGUUAGGAGACACCCGUUCACCUUAUCUUUAUAGAGUUUGGGCUAUUUUAAGUGCUCUAUGUGCCAAACCUCAUAACUCAAUGUGAAUACACAUUACUCCUUUACUCUGACAGAAAUAACAAUAAUGCCUUACCUUGGGAAGUCCCAGAGCACUUCCAAUAUUAUCUCACAGCACCUCGGAGAAAUGGCUAAAAGGAGGGGCAGGCAGCCCAGCCUUUCUGCACGUAUGUGUCUGUCCAGAGUCUACAGUCUCUCUCCAGUGUUUUGCAAAACUCUGAUCCAAGUCGUCUUUGCAGAGUACUAAAGACACACAUUAGUUCAGCAACUUCAAAUUGCUCAUGUGUCCAAAAUCUCUCACCUGCUACUCAAAGGAAGACCUUCAAAUGGGGGUUCUAUCCUGAUAAAUCUUUUGUCAUCAUUUGUUGAAUUUCUUAAUAAACCUCUUAUCAUGUA